UACGUAGGGUGCGAGCGUUGUCCGGAAUUAUUGGGCGUAAAGAGCUCGUAGGCGGUUUGUCGCGUCGACUGUGAAAACCCGAGGCUUAACCUCGGGCCUGCAGUCGAUACGGGCAGACUAGAGUUCGGUAGGGGAGACUGGAAUUCCUGGUGUAGCGGUGAAAUGCGCAGAUAUUGGGAGGAACACCAGAUGCGAAGGCGGGUCACUGGGCUGAUACUGACGCUGAUGCGCGAAAGCCAGGGGAGCAAACGGG
rnacentral:rRNA from 1 species